rnacentral:sRNA from 1 species
AUACGUACUUUAGCUACACCAUCAAAGCUUUGAGAAGCAAGAAGAAGCUUGGUUGUUGUUAUGGAGUCAAAUAUGACUAGAUGUCAUGUGUAUGAGUGAGUAUAACAAAUAGAACUGCAACCGGAUUUUAAAAGCCUAAGUAUUGUAUCCUUGUUAGAAGAUACAAAGACAAAGACUCAUAAGGACUUUGGCUACACCAUCAAAGCUUUGAGAAGCAAGAAGAAGCUUGGUUAGUGUUUUGGAGUCGAAUAUGACUUGAUGCGAUGUGUAUGAUUGAGUAUAAGAACUUAAUCCGCAACCCGAGCUUAAAAUCCAAAGUAGUAUUUCCUUGUUAGAAGAUAGAAAGCCAAAGACACAUACGCACUUAAGCUACACCAUCAUAACUUUGAGAAGCAAGAAGAAGCUUGGUUAGUGUUUUGGAGUCAAUAUUACUAGAUGUCAUGUGUAUGAGUGAGUAUGAGAACUAGAACCGCAACCGGAUCUUAAAAGCCUAAGUAUUGAGUAUUUGUUAGAAGAUACAAAGCCAAAGACUCAUACGGACUUUGGCUACACCAUCAAAGCUUUGAGAAGUAAGAAA